CGCACCCCGCGGAGCUCACACU
rnacentral:miRNA from 1 species